AGUAAACACUCUCCAGCUGAGCCACACCCACAGCAGAGGAAUGUACCUGAAUUGAUGUAACAGACGCAGAACGUUUCAUUAUUAUGUGUUUCCAUUCGCCGAGCUGCAGCAGCAAUAUGUAGAUCUGGAGGUCUCUGUUCACACGUUCACAGCUUCAUGGCUGUGGUGCAAAACCGAAGUCAGAGCAGUGAUUGAGAAACGUGCACCCAAAGCAGAAGAAGGAAGGAGAAGGAGUCGCCUUUCGUGUCUCAGAGCGGCCCGUGCAUCACUCCGGUCUGCUCCGAACUCUCGCGCUCGCUGGCCGACUCCCACGGCUCCCACGGCUCCCUCACCCCCCUCACCCCUCGGCCCCAAAUGGCUGACACACAGCAGUUCUUCACUGGCAAGCUUUAUGUUCCUGUACACAUGCUAAAGCUGCCAGCUGAAGAACUGCUCUGGUCAGCCCUGCCCCGGAUGACUCAAGAAAAGGAAGCAGAUGGGGGGUGGUGGGAACCGGACUGAGAAAGACGGCGUUUCACACUCACAGCAGUCAGACUGGACUUGCCAGAUUUGAGCCUGUGGUUUACUUCACUAUUUUAUGAUCACACGUGUUUUUUUCCUUCCCAUUUGUUUAAACUGUGUCUAUGAUGUUGUUGUUGUUUUAGCUUCCAAUAAAGAACAAAAUGUUCCCUC
ensembl:lncRNA